GAAGAGAGCUAAAAUGGCGGAGGUUGGGAGUCCCUGCUUUGACCCUGUUUGCAAACUCUUGUUUCAUCGUUUAAGCGAUUAAAUCUCUCGAGUAGACGCUGUCUCUUUAGAUGCAAGGGCAAAAUAGCACUUUAUGGACUUACACAGAGGACAUCAUGUUUAAUACGGUUCCGGAAAAAUCAGUCAGAAGUUGUUCACGGAGUUUUCACAAUAACUGCUUCUCAUGAACCGAAGCUGCGCGACGUCUCCUCCUGAAAGUUGGAUUACCGUGCACUUCUGGAUCACAGGCUGUAAGUAUUCAUGUUUAUUAUUUGCCUUUACUGUAAGUUACGUUACCGGUAACCGGAGCUUAACAUUAUGUGUAGAGCUCAGAUAUAUAUCUAUGUGUAGAGCUAAGCUUGCAAGCUAAUUGUGUUGUGUUGUAAUAAUGUAUUUCAUAAACAACGUACCAUAUUUACACACGUGUAUGUUGAAUUAUGCAGACUAUCGUUUUUAUCGAUGUUUAUUUAGACGUGUUUACAAACUUGCUAAGCUGUUCCAGCUAAACUGUUACCGGUAAAGUUUGUUCUCAUGAUCAAACUCAAGUCAAGAAACUCUAAGUACAGAUGAUUUGUUUAACGUUAUAUGUAUUUUACUGUUGUAUUUACUUGAAGCUUUCUUAGAUUUUGAAACGAAGUAAACACGUAAUGUGUGUUGCUAAUGUUGGGCCAUGUAAUAUGUAAUACAUUUACGUUUUAAUGAAUAGUCUAACGAUUUAUAGUCGUUGUACUCUAUUGUUAUAAUAUGUCUUUUUGACUGAAUACAUGUUUGUUUUAUUUGUCUAUAUCUUAGAUUCGCAGCUGGACACAUCCUUCUACACUGUAUGCAAACAUGCAACAUCAUUACACACAGUACAAGGAGUCAGACUGGCAUAUGAGGAGCAAAGGAACCCAGGCAGUAGCAUCGUUUCACAAUGUUUCCAUCACCAUCAUCAGUGGAUGCCUUUGCCGUCCGUAGCCUGAGAUUUCAGAUUUGCAGCAAAAAAUGUGACUUUCCCAUUUAUUGGAAUGCUGUGCAGCCAUCCAUUACAAUGUCACCAAGCCGUAACAAAAGCAGGAGAGGGAAAGUACAA